CCUACGGGUGGCAGCAGUGAGGAAUAUUGGUCAAUGGACGCAAGUCUGAACCAGCCAUGCCGCGUGCAGGAAGACGGCUCUAUGAGUUGUAAACUGCUUUUGUACGGGGGUAAACGCAGAUACGCGUAUCUGUCUGAAAGUAUCGUACGAAUAAGGAUCGGCUAACUCCGUGCCAGCAGCCGCGGUAAUACGGAGGAUUCAAGCGUUAUCCGGAUUUAUUGGGUUUAAAGGGUGCGUAGGCGGUCGGAUAAGUUAGAGGUGAAAUUCCGGGGCUCAACUUCGGAAUUGCCUUUGAUACUGUCCGUCUAGAGAGUAGUAGAGGUAGGCGGAAUGUAUGGUGUAGCGGUGAAAUGCUUAGAGAUCACACAGAACACCGAUUGCGAAGGCAGCUUACCAAGCUACUACUGACGUUGAGGCACGAAAGCGUGGGGAGCAAACAGGAUUAGAUACCCGGGUAGUC
rnacentral:rRNA from 1 species